rnacentral:siRNA from 1 species
GCACGUCUGCCUGGGUGUCACA